rnacentral:lncRNA from 1 species
GCUGCUUUGCUCUCUUCGCAGGGUUUCCGCGGGAAGUGAGGAACUUCCAAGCCCCGGCGGUGGGGUGAAGGCGUGCAGCGACUCCUCCCUCCAGAAAGUGACCUCCGUCUGGGUGACCAAGUUUCUGAGGAAUGAAAGCAACAGUUAMAGCCUGGAGGGAGAUGGGGCAGGACGUCACUGUGAUCGCUUUGAUGGUCAGCGUCCCUGGAGCUUGGUGUGUUGGCUGGUGCUUCUGACAGCGGUCCUGCAGGUUCUGUGCUGGUGUGGGCUCUUGUGGGUUAGGGCCUCCAGGUUGGUUUGGUUCCAUUCUGACCCACGUGUGUGGUGAAGACCUGCUGGAGACAGCUCCACGUGCAUCGAAAUAAACCAAGUGCAACCCUAGGAU